CUGUCUUGGCCUGAACUUAAGAUG
rnacentral:piRNA from 1 species